rnacentral:rRNA from 1 species
AGGGUUUGAUCAUGGCUCAGAACGAACGUUGGCGGCGUGGAUUAGGCAUGCAAGUCGAACGAAUCCCAGUUGCUGUAGCAAUACAAUGACUGGGGGAAGUGGCGAAAGGGGCAGUAAGGCGUGGGUAACCUACCUUGGGGACGGGGAUAGCCAUUCUAACGGAUGGAUAAUACCCGGCGAUGUGACGAAGGCGCCUGUCUUUGUCAUGAAAUGAAUUUCGCCUCGAGAGGGGCUCACGUGGUAUUAGCUUGUUGGUGAGGUAACGGCUCACCAAGGCUGAGAUGCCUAGCGGGUGUGAGAGCACGACCCGCGCCACUGGCACUGAGACACUGGCCAGACUCCUACGGGAGGCUGCAGUCGAGGAUCUUCGGCAAUGGGCGCAAGCCUGACCGAGCGACGCCGCGUGCGCGAUGAAGGCCUUCGGGUUGUAAAGCGCUGUCGAGGGGGAGGAAGCCGCAAGGUUGACCUAUCCCUGGAGGAAGCUCGGGCUAAGUUCGUGCCAGCAGCCGCGGUAAGACGAACCGAGCGAACGUUGUUCGGAAUCACUGGGCUU